rnacentral:lncRNA from 1 species
CGACCUCCAGAGGUCAGAAUUUAAAAAUUAAAAUUAAAAUAUACCAACUUCCAGAGGCUGAAAAUAUUAAAAAUUAAAAAUUAACAAAUACCGACCUCCAGAUGUCGGUAUUUCAAAAUAUGAGAAAUAAAUAUUCUGACAUAAAUAUUCUACAUUCAGAAGACGGAAAUAAUAAAAAUAAAAAAUAAACAAAUAUAUAAAAGUGAC